UUAGGGAGACCUACCCACUCAGCAGGAGUUGCGCAGUACGAAGAGUACGAGCGCAGGAUUUCUUGCAAGAGUUGGUUAUCCCAAGGUCGAGCAGGGAUGAGUGAAGCUGUCUUCCAAACUACACCAGGUUAAAAACAAACAGCCAAUCUAUCUCUGGGAUAGAUUGUAGUUGUUUGAGAUGGGGUAAGUUCCAGCAAUUGAUCUAGCGAGGGCGUUAGACGGUUUGCUGGAUUAAGCUCCAGCGAAGCACCUUGAAAACUGCAUAGUAGAAGAAGUCAGGUAGAGAAGACUGAGCCUUGUUCAUGGUACUGAGCGAGGGCAACGAAGACUCGGAAGGGUCAAGUUGAACCGAGUGAGGGAGUAGUGAAGGAGGAGCAGUUCAGGAAACAGACAUUCAAGAGAGAA
rnacentral:misc_RNA from 1 species